rfam:Pseudozyma hubeiensis SY62 DNA, scaffold: PHS58.
GGCACUAUGGCGGAGUGGUUAUCGCGUAGCACUCGAACUCUUCACUUGCAGAUCGAGCAACACUCAAACAAUAUGCUAUUCCCCCUGGGAGCGCAGGUUCAAAUCCUGCUGGUGUCG